rnacentral:rRNA from 1 species
UACGAAGGGGGCUAGCGUUGCUCGGAAUCACUGGGCGUAAAGGGUGCGUAGGCGGGGCUUUAAGUCAGGGGUGAAAUCCUGGAGCUCAACUCCAGAACUGCCUUCGAUACUGGAGAGCUCGAGUCCGGGAGAGGUGAGUGGAACUGCGAGUGUAGAGGUGAAAUUCGUAGAUAUUCGCAAGAACACCAGUGGCGAAGGCGGCUCACUGGCCCGGUACUGACGCUGAGGUGCGAAAGCGUGGGGAGCAAACAGG